UGGUUGACUGUAAGUUUUCUUGUCCUCAUUCCGAAACUAGUAUAUAACGAUAAUCGUACUUAGCUUGGUUGUUUACCACUAGUGACUAAUAGGCUGGUCGUAGUUCGACGGCCAACGUUCGUAAGUACACGAGUCUACAGACUGGAAACAACGUGCGUAAAAGUUACGCUGAGUAGUUGAGCGUUUCACGUACUAUUUUUUUUCUUAAUAUCGAUAGUACUUGGUAGAAUAUUGUAUAAUUUUGUCAACUUGUAGUCUUUUGUGUCGCUUAUUUAUUUGUUGUUAAGCCCAAAACUAUGCUGUAGGCAAGCUGAGCUAUGCCCAUUGUGGGGAACGAAAUCUAAAUAUUAUCGUUAUGAGCCCUUGGACUUACAUCUGAGCCAUCGUGGAGAAGGGGGGGGGGGUAUUCUAUGGCUCUUCAGAUAGGAGAUCAAGAGAAUUACGUAGCUCGACAACGUUAUGGAAGACACCAGAAAUACUCGGGAAACGUGACCUGAUUUCGAGAAAGAAAAGUCAGAGGAGAAAAACCUUGCUGAUUUGGAGAAACGAGAGUCAGAGAAGGAUAAACAUGAUCUGAUCUGGAGGAAAAAAUAAUCAGUAUAGUGAGACCAGCAAUGUAAAAAAUAAGCAUAAAUAUUUAAUAAGACAAAAAUUAAUGUUAUCUGAAUCAAAUGUUUAGAUUUGUUAAUAUACACCACGAUUUUUUUUAUAUUCAGUUAAAAUGUAAUUUGUCAGAAUAAAUUCGUCAAGAAACCAGGGUAACCAUUGGAAAUACAACUCCA